UGUCAGAUCAUUUCAAGCUCUUCUGUGUCGAGCUGAGGAGCUGCUCUGUGCCCGGCUUACAGAACUGGAAGGGGGAGCCACCUUCCGCCUGAUGGAGGCUGGAGAACGGAUGGAACCUGGAUCCCUGGAGCCUGGGACACUACCUCGCUGCGGUUGGUGGUGGCCACAGACCAGUAGGAGGGCGGCUGGCAGCGGGAGCUUCUUCUGCCGGGCUGGAGGACUAGGAGAAGGGAGAGGGAACGCCACAUGCUGGAGGCUGGAGCCUGUGCCACCGUGGCUCACCUCGAUGUGGUUGGUGGCAGCUCGCCUUGCUGUGGUUGGUGGUGACGUCGGAGACUGCAGCUCGGCCACAGUGGUAGAAAUGUGUUGGGGUAGCUUUUGCUGUGUUGGGCACUUGCUCCCAUCUGCUUGCUUCUCUAGAAUCCACUGCCCUAGAAUGAGUAAUUUUUCUUAGAAGCAGAGUUGGAACCACUGAGGAAGCACAGGACCACCAGAACAACCCCAUCAUGGCCCUGUCACCAGGCCCAGUUUGGCUCCAUGAUAACCAAGACGCAGGUCCAGAGACAACCGCCCUGCUUGAUGCCUGCAUCUGACCUCCCUUGGUGGGUAGUGAUGAGCACAACAUGGAAGAAGCCAGGGCAGCUUGUGGCCAGCUGCCCUACAGCCCCAGAUGGCUGGGGACUAGGAUUCCAAAAGGAUGAUUUUGGAGCUGUAGGAUUGAAUGACUGGCCUGCUGGGUUUUGGAUGUUCGUGUAUCCUAUGAGUCCCAUCGGUGUUUGUUUUUCUUUCAGGCAAUUUUUCUUCUAUUGGCUGGGAAUGCUUACCCAUUGCCUGUACAAUCAUUGUACCUUGGAAGUAGUUAACUUGCUUUAUAAUUCAGAGGCUCAUGGGCAGAAGGGACUGUAUCCUUGUCCCAGAUAAAACUUUGGGCUUUGGACAUUUGCUGGAAUGAGUUAAGAUUUGGGGGACUGUAGGGAAGUCAUCAUUGUAUUUUGCAACGUGAGAAAGACAUACGAGAUUUGCAUGGGCAGGGACAGAAUAAUAUGACUUGGCUCUGUGUCCCACUGCUGUGAAAUUGUAACGGGAAAUGUUAAAGGUGGUGGGGGCUGGUGGAAGGUGAUUUAAUCAUGGUGGAGAGUGGAGGUUGGAAGGUGGGGGUGGUGGGGAGAAUUGGGGGGAAUUAUGGUGGGGUUGGGGGUGAAAGGCAGGGGUGGGGGUGAUCCUUCACAAGUAAUUAAACACCAUCUCCUUAAUGCUGUCCUUCUGAUAGUUCUCUUCAUAAUUUCGUAGCUGUGAGAUUGAAUACUGGUCUGCUGGGUUUUGGAUGUGCAUUGGGCCUGUGGUCCCAUUUGUGUUAUUUUUCUGGGAAAUUUCUUCCCUUUGGAUUAAGAAAGCUUACCCAAUGCCUGUACCAUCAUUGUACCUUGAAAGAAAAGAACUCCAUUUUAACUUCAGGGACUCAUAGGUAGAAGAUACUGUAUAGCCUUGUCUCGGAUGAGACUUUGAACUUCUUAUAGUUGAGUUGAUGCUGGAAUGAGUUAAGGCUUUUGGAAACUUUUGAAAAGGCAUGAUUGUGUUUUACCCUGUGAGAAGGACAUGAGAUUCGGAAGGGUCAAGGUCGGAAUAAUAUGGUUUGGCUGUGUUUUGCUAGAAAAACUCAUGUGGAAUUGUAAUCCCGAAUUUUGGUUGUGAAGCCUGGUGGGAGGUGAUUUAAUCAUG
rnacentral:lncRNA from 1 species